rnacentral:sRNA from 1 species
AACUGAACCGCAUUGAAACGCGAUAUUCUAGAAGAAUAUGAACACCUGUGUUUCCACAAAAUUGUACCACUGCAUGAAAUGGUAGACAGUGGAUUGAAGCUGUCUUAAGGCAAACAAUGCACCAUUUGAAAUGUAGAAGGGCUAGCAGCAACACUGUCGGUUGCUAGCCCAUUCGGUUCGAUUCCCGAGCACGCAUCUGGCGCAGUCGACGUUAAAAAGCACGCAUAGCUUGCCACUUGCCACUGACAGCUUCAAUGCCACCACCACUAGUCAGCUCCCAACCCUACAGGAAGUUCGAUUGGAGAAAUGCCAAUCCUAUGUGGAUGCGAUUAACCGGCUAUCAAUGGGGCCAGACGCAUCAGCUGUAAUGAAACAGCUUAUCUAGAAGCCGGUUGUUCGAUUGGCCGAAACCCGCAUCGACAUACGUCUAAACACUG